GUGCACGCUGGCGGUAGGCCUAACACCUGCAAGUCGAACGGCAGCACAGUAAGAGCUUGCUCUUACGGGUGGCGAGUGGCGGACGGGUGAGGAAUACAUCGGAAUCUACUUUUUCGUGGGGGAUAACGUAGGGAAACUUACGCUAAUACCGCAUACGACCUACGGGUGAAAGCAGGGGAUCUUCGGACCUUGCGCGAUUGAAUGAGCCGAUGUCGGAUUAGCUAGUUGGCGGGGUAAAGGCCCACCAAGGCGACGAUCCGUAGCUGGUCUGAGAGGAUGAUCAGCCACACUGGAACUGAGACACGGUCCAGACUCCUACGGGAGGCAGCAGUGGGGAAUAUUGGACAAUGGGCGCAAGCCUGAACCAGCCAUACCGCGUGGGUGAAGAAGGCCUUCGGGUUGUAAAGCCCUUUUGUUGGGAAAGAAAAGCAGCAGGUUAAUACCCCGCUGUUCUGACGGUACCCAAAGAAUAAGCACCGGCUAACUUCGUG
rnacentral:rRNA from 1 species